rnacentral:rRNA from 1 species
CCUACGGGCGGCUGCAGUGGGGAAUAUUGGACAAUGGGCGAAAGCCUGAUCCAGCCAUGCCGCGUGUGUGAAGAAGGCCUUCGGGUUGUAAAGCACUUUCAGUGGGGAAGAAAGCCUUGGGGCUAAUACCCUCGAGGAAGGACAUCACCCACAGAAGAAGCACCGGCUAACUCCGUGCCAGCAGCCGCGGUAAUACGGAGGGUGCGAGCGUUAAUCGGAAUUACUGGGCGUAAAGCGCGCGUAGGCGGUCUGAUAAGCCGGUUGUGAAAGCCCCGGGCUCAACCUGGGAACGGCAUCCGGAACUGUCAGGCUAGAGUGCAGGAGAGGAAGGUAGAAUUCCCGGUGUAGCGGUGAAAUGCGUAGAGAUCGGGAGGAAUACCAGUGGCGAAGGCGGCCUUCUGGACUGACACUGACGCUGAGGUGCGAAAGCGUGGGUAGCAAACAGGAUUAGAUACCCGAGUAAGUC